rnacentral:rRNA from 1 species
UGGCGGCGUGCCUAACACAUGCAAGUCGAACGAGGUAGCAAUACCUAGUGGCAGACGGGUGAGUAACGCGUGGUCAACCUACCGUUGAGUGGGGGAUAACUAGCCGAAAGGUUAGCUAAUACCGCAUACGUCUCCGAGAGGCAUCUCUUGGCGAUAAAAGGAGCAAUCCGCUCGAUGACGGGACCGCGUCCCAUUAGCUAGAUGGUGGGGUAAUGGCCUACCAUGGCUCCGAUGGGUAGCUGGUUUGAGAGAGCGACCAGCCACACUGGGACUGAGAAACGGCCCAGACUCCUACGGGAGGCAGCAGUGAGGAAUUUUCCGCAAUGGGCGAAAGCCUGACGGAGCGACGCCGCGUGUGGGAAGAAGGCCUUCGGGUCGUAAACCACUGUCGAAGGGGAAGAUAUUGACGGUACCCUUGGAGGAAGCCCCGGCUAACUACGUGCCAGCAGCCGCGGUAAGACGUAGGGGGCAAGCGAUGUUCGGAAUUAUUGGGCGUAAAGCGCUCGUAGGCGGAUGCACAAGUCGGUGAAGAAAGACCUGNGCUCAACUCGGGG